CCUGGAUUCGCUGAGAUGCUAAGAGAAAGUAGGUAGCUCGGUGCAUGGAGCACAGUGGGAACGCAUUAAAUACUGCUACAAUGAAGUCACUAUUUAUAUGUUGUCCUGAUCUGAUGCCACCACGGAGACUGCCCUCCUUCAGUUGGUGCCACUGUCCAGGUUCCUGGCGUCUGUCACGUACAACUGCUCGAAAACAAUAUGAGCCAAGAAGUGAAGCGGACUACGGGAGGCAGAAGAGAGAGGCUUUAACUUCCACUUCACUUUGAAGGUGCAGGGAAUGAAGCUACUUUGCAGGAAGCCUUCCCUGACAGUCCAAGACUGGGUGAGAAGUGAUUCUUUGUAACUGUACCCAUCACAGCAUUUAUCAGUGGAUAUCAGAUUUAAGUGAGUAUCUCUCCUCGGACGCUGCCCAUGUGAGAUGGUUAUUCCUGUAUACUUGGAGUCUGGUUAGUGCUGGCACACAGUAGGUGCUCAAGACAUUCUUAGCAAAUGAAUAAGUGAAUGAACAAAUAAAUGAUUUUCUCUGAGACAAGAGGAAAAUUGCUUUCUCAAGUUUCUGCUUCAAUUUCUACAAAGUGGGACAAUGAAUCUUUAUACAGGAAUGUGAGAAGAAUCGCUUAUCUCAGAGAUGCGAUAAAAUCCUUAAACAAGAGGCAAAAUAAAAGAGCAAAGUAUAUUUUUUAUAAUCUUAUUCACAACAGACUUAACACUCAAGGAGAAAAGCAUUUGCUGUUGUUUCUUGCAUGGCAAGAGGCUUGCCAAAAUGGAUACUAUUUUCUAAAAUAUUUCAACGUGUGAAGCGCAUGAGAAGGCCUCCCGUCAUUUUAAGAUGAAUUAUGUUCUAAUCCAGGCACUUAAAAAACAACAACAACAGAAAAACUCAGGCUGUUUUUCAAUUCUGUCUAUAACUUCUCCUGGCUAAAUGCUGGGAAUAUUAAAAUGAAUUUUAGCUGCUUGCCAGAUUUUCCUUUUUUUUUUUCUCUUUCUUCUUUUUUUAAUCAGAAUGCCUAUUACAUUUUAAAAUGUGAUGUCUGGGGAAAAGGUCAUUCUCUGUUUCUGGAAGCUGGAAUUAAGAUGUUAAAAUUGGACUCAGAACCGCCCUUUAUUUUGAUGGCAGUUGGUGGAUAGGUCACAAGCUUUGGAAGGACACCCAUGCACAUGCUACAAGUCCAAUUUCUUGGGGCAGUUGGCAAGCCCACCACCAAGUGAUGGCAAGAGGUUUCUGUAAACCAGGUGGGAGGAGAAGCAAGCCACACUCUAGGAGCUCCUUGGCCUCCCUUCUCUGCCUGAGGGGAGUCUGGAGUUGAAGACAGUCUGACAUCAAGGGGUUGGAAAUCAAACACCCCCAGGGGAGGGCGCCACCCAGCAACACAGAAAAGAAGGCCAAGGAUCUGUGAAAACCUCCCCCAAUGCCAUAGACCUCAGUUUCUUGAUGGAGAAGACAAUGUAAUGUCCACAUCUUUCCUGAAGCCCCAACACCCAGAUUUGAAUGAAUACUCAAGGUUACCACUAGAGGAUGCCACGUGAUAAAGGAAAACUUGGGGAAUUAUGUCUUCUAUGAUCUACCUGGCCUAAAAGAGUAGCCAUUCAGGCCAUGUUCACUCCUGUUCUCUCUUCAUUGGGGAGUCAUUCACAUUUCUGGAAAGAAUGAGAUAAAACCCAACAAGCGAACCACUCAAGCUAAACAGCACAGCCAACAAUAGCUCUGGGAAAUGGGACGCCUCUCAGGAGCCACAAAUGAUGGAAUUUACCUGUAGGCAAAUCAUCUAGCAAAUCAGAAGAAGCUCUGCUCAGCAUUUCAACAAAAUUCUGCCAUCUGUGCAAAAAAAGAAAACAUAAUAUUGAAGAUCAAUAUCAUGGCCCUAAAAAAAUGUGUAGUGAAGCUCUAUGUUUAUGUUGGUAGCGAUAUUGAAGACAUUUUUUGAUAUCUGUACCAUUUAAGAUUCAGUGCAGGAAAUGAAAACUACUUUAUAUGUCUUUAUUAGAAAGGGCUUUGAUAUAGAGAAUUGGGUUCCUAGGAAGUUCCUGCAAGGCUAUUAGAAUGUAGUGUGGGUCUGCUGCUACGCUCAGGGUCAGGCUUCAACAGGUGCGGCCCAGAGAUAAGAGAGGGAACUGCAGGAAAAUCUGGCUGGGGUCUCAGCUGCCCUGCGUUCUGAAGUUAAGAAGAUGCAGUCCAAGGUGCUUUCUGGCCAUGGGAAAAACUAGUGCUUACCAGUUUCUGAAGUUGCUAGUGAUG